rnacentral:rRNA from 1 species
CGGACGGGUGAGUAACGCGUGGGUAACCUGCCUUAUACUGGGGGAUAACAGCCAGAAAUGACUGCCAAUACCGCAUAAGCGCACAGAACCGCAUGGUUCGGUGUGAAAAACUCCGGUGGUAUAAGAUGGACCCGCGUUGGAUUAGCUAGUUGGCAGGGCAGCGGCCUACCAAGGCGACGAUCCAUAGCCGGCCUGAGAGGGUGAACGGCCACAUUGGGACUGAGACACGGCCCAG